GAUGAACGCUGGCGGCGUGCCUAAUACAUGCAAGUCGAGCGAACAGACGAGGAGCUUGCUCCUCUGACGUUAGCGGCGGACGGGUGAGUAACACGUGGAUAACCUACCUAUAAGACUGGGAUAACUUCGGGAAACCGGAGCUAAUACCGGAUAAUAUAUUGAACCGCAUGGUUCAAUAGUGAAAGACGGUUUUGCUGUCACUUAUAGAUGGAUCCGCGCCGCAUUAGCUAGUUGGUAAGGUAACGGCUUACCAAGGCAACGAUGCGUAGCCGACCUGAGAGGGUGAUCGGCCACACUGGAACUGAGACACGGUCCAGACUCCUACGGGAGGCAGCAGUAGGGAAUCUUCCGCAAUGGGCGAAAGCCUGACGGAGCAACGCCGCGUGAGUGAUGAAGGUCUUCGGAUCGUAAAACUCUGUUAUUAGGGAAGAACAAAUGUGUAAGUAACUAUGCACGUCUUGACGGUACCUGAUCAGAAAGCCACGGCUAACUACGUG
rnacentral:rRNA from 1 species